rnacentral:rRNA from 1 species
CUACGGGGGGCAGCAGUGAGGAGUUUUGCGCAAUGGGGGAAACCCUGACGCAGCAACGCCGCGUGAGCGAAGAAGGCCUUCGGGUCGUAAAGCUCUGUCAAGUGGGAAAAACGUUUUCCGGUGAAUAGCCGGGAGAUCUGAUGGUACCAUUGAAGGAAGCACCGGCUAACUCCGUGCCAGCAGCCGCGGUAAUACGGAGGGUGCAAGCGUUGUUCGGAAUUAUUGGGCGUAAAGAGCGUGUAGGCGGUUUAGUAAGUCAGAUGUGAAAGCCCCGGGCUCAACCUGGGAAGUGCAUUUGAAACUGCUUUACUGGAGUAUGGGAGAGGAGAGUGGAAUUCCUGGUGUAGAGGUGAAAUUCGUAGAUAUCAGGAGGAACAUCUGUGGCGAAGGCGACUCUCUGGACCAAUACUGACGCUGAGACGCGAAAGCGUGGGUAGCAAACAGGAUUAGAUACCCUGGUAGUC